CAGGGCUCUAAUCUGCUGGACUGGGCAAGAUGACUGGGUGGAGGAUGUUCAGGGAGGGGCUGGAGCCACAAGAAGACUCGACCUUCAGCCUCCCUCCCUUGGCCCUGCUCACUCUGGGGCUCUCUGAGCAUCCGCUCAGGGCGGAGAGGGGGGGCUUCCUCGGAAGGUGGUGAGUGCUCUUCCCCUGCAGAAGUGCGAGCAGGACGUGGAUGCCAGGCAGGAGGCGGAAGGAAUGAGUCUAGCCCUCAGGUCCAGGCUCCAACAUCCCUCUGCAAACGGCCUCCCCUUGGAAACUACCCC
rnacentral:lncRNA from 1 species